CGCGAAUCGCCCUUCGGGGUGCACCAGGCGCGAAAACUUUACAAUGCUGGCAACAGCGAUAAGGGGACCUCGAGUGCCAGGAUACAAUCUUGGCUGUCGUGAUGCCUAAAAAGCAUUGCAUAGCAAGGGCCGGGCAAGACCGGUGCCAGCCGCCGCGGUAACACCGGCGGCUCGAGUGGUAACCGCUAUUAUUGGGUCUAAAGGGUCUGUAGCCGGCCGGAUAAGUCUUUUGGGAAAUCCAGCAGCUCAACUGUUGGGCUUUCAGAGGAUACUGUUCGGCUCGAGGCCGGGAGAGGUGAGAGGUACUUCAGGGGUAGGGGUGAAAUCUUGUAAUCCUUGAAGGACCACCAGUGGCGAAGGCGUCUCACCAGAACGGUCCUGACGGCAAGGGACGAAAGCUAGGGGCACGAACCGGAUUAGAUACCCGGGUAGUCCUAGCCGUAAACGAUACUCGCUAGGUGUCGGCCACGGUGCGACCGUGGUCGGUGCCGUAGGGAAGCCGUGAAGCGAGCCACCUGGGAAGUACGGCCGCAAGGCUGAAACUUAAAGGAAUUGGCGGGGGAGCAC
rnacentral:rRNA from 1 species